rnacentral:tRNA from 1 species
GUGGGCUGGAUCGUGGCGAUCAUCGCCGGCUUCUGGCUGGCGCUGGCCUCCUUCGUCGUGUUCAGCAUCCAGAAGGCCGCC